rnacentral:rRNA from 1 species
GAUGAACGCUGGCGGCGUGCCUAAUGCAUGCAAGUCGAGCGAACAGACGAGGAGCUUGCUCCUCUGACGUUAGCGGCGGACGGGUGAGUAACACGUGGAUAACCUACCUAUAAGACUGGGAUAACUUCGGGAAACCGGAGCUAAUACCGGAUAACAUGUUGAACCGCAUGGUUCAACAGUGAAAGACGGUUUUGCUGUCACUUAUAGAAGGAUCCGCGUCGCAUUAGCUAGUUGGUAAGGUAACGGCUUACCAAGGCAACGAUGCGUAGCCGACCUGAGAGGGUGAUCGGCCACACUGGAACUGAGACACGGUCCAGACUCCUACGGGAGGCAGCAGUAGGGAAUCUUCCGCAAUGGGCGAAAGCCUGACAGAGCAACGCCGCGUGAGUGAAGAAGGUCUUCGGAUCGUAAAACUCUGUUAUUAGGGAAGAACAAAUGUGUAAGUAACUAUGCACGUCUUGACGGUACCUAAUCAGAAAGCCACGGCUAACUACGUG